rnacentral:rRNA from 1 species
UUGUAACGGAGAGUUUGAUUCUGGCUCAGGACGAACGCUGGCGGCGUGCUUAACACAUGCAAGUCGAACGAUGAAGCCUAGCUUGCUAGGUGGAUUAGUGGCGAACGGGUGAGUAAUACGUGAGU